UGAUAAGGUAACAAGUCGAUGGAUUCCU
rnacentral:piRNA from 1 species